rnacentral:tRNA from 1 species
GGGAGCUUGGCUCAGUUGGAAGAGCGCAGGUCUCAUACUAUAGUAUGAUCCCAACAACAGUUGGGAGUUAUCCUGAGGUCGUGAGUUCGAGCCUCACAGUUCCCA